GAUCCUGGCUCAGGAUGAACGCUAGCGGCAGGCCUAACACAUGCAAGUCGAGGGGCAGCGGGGAAGUAGCUUGACUACUUUUGCCGGCGACCGGCGCACGGGUGCGUAACGCGUAUGUAACCUACCUUAAACAGGGGCAUAACACUGAGAAAUUGGUACUAAUACCCCAUAAUAUCUGAGAAGGCAUCUUUUCAGGUUGAAAGCUCCGACGGUUAUAGAUGGGCAUGCGUUGUAUUAGGUAGUUGGUGAGGUAACGGCUCACCAAGCCGACGAUGUCUAGGGGUUCUGAGAGGAAGGUCCCCCCACACUGGUACUGAGACACGGACCAGACUCCUACGGGAGGCAGCAGUGAGGAAUAUUGGUCAAUGGGCGAGAGCCUGAACCAGCCAAGUCGCGUGAGGGAAGACGGUACUAAGUAUUGUAAACCUCUUUUGUCAGGGAACAAAGAGACCACGUGUGGUAAGAUGAGUGUACCUGAAGAAAAAGCAUCGGCUAACUCCGUG
rnacentral:rRNA from 1 species